GAGGGACGGCCCCUCGAAGUCGGCUUGCAGGAGCAGGCUUCAAACCGCCACAAGCUGCGUGGGUAAAGAGCCCCCGUGGUGAGCGUUGCUGGAAAAGUCGGGGUUUAGCCCGACACGU
rfam:Burkholderia humi Vandamme et al. 2013 isolate LMG 22934 genome assembly, contig: contig000088